rnacentral:misc_RNA from 1 species
GAUGAAGAACGCAGUGAAAUGCGAUAAUUAAUGUGAAUUGCAGAAUUCCGUGAAUCAUCGAGUCUUUGAACGCACAUUGCGCCUCAUGGCAUUCCAUGAGGCAUGCCCAUCUCAGCGUUAGAAAAUAUUCUCAAAUUUUAGUUUUGUGCUAAAAUUUGGAUCAUGUCAAGGAAGCUAUUACUAUUAUUGUGAUCGCUCUUUGGAAAUUGAUAGGUCUUUGAGUUGCUACUCAUAGAACGUGAUGAAUCUUUCUUCGUUCUAUUGUAAUUCACUCUGGUAGUCCUAAAACUUGUAUGCCUGUGGCAUAUCUUGUAAUUUGACCUGAGAUUGGGUAGGGAUACCCGCUGAACUUAAGCAUAUCAAUAAGCGGAGGA